UGCUUGCUUAAUAAUGUAUUGAAUCUCAAGUAUGAAAAGUGCUUAAAUCCAAUAGCUUACUAAUUAUGUGAAAAAGGAGUUGCUCCGAUAUAAACCUUCCCCAUUAUAAUAAUAAUCCACUACAUAGGAUGUCUUAAUAUUAAUCUAUCAGGACCAUUAGUAUUUACCAUUGGUUUUAAAUUAUGAAAUAUACUAUCAGUCAUUGAAAUAAAUCUAAUAGUGUAUACAAUUAAUUUUCCUUAACUUUGAAUGUUUUGUACUACCUUGUUUCAUCUACUUAUACACCUCAUCCAUGGCUGAUAUUACUUCUUAUCUCUAAGAACUUCAUUUUCUCACCAGGUGGAGACGCCUAAUACGUAUGCUCAGCCUCAGCAACUACUGAACUUCAGAUCUUUCUAAAGGAAAAAGCUGUGAAGUUUUGGCUGCCGACGACUUAUUCUAACUUCAUCCCAAUAGUUGAUCUUUUGCCGAUGACGGUUGGAAGACUUUUGCCAACGACGACAAUAGUUGACGACGAUAAGGACACUACUGAAUAUUAGUUUCGAUCAAAGGUCUAGACAACAACAAAUAUUAAUGUCUGUAUUUGUUGCUGCUGUCGACGAUAUCGCAGGCUGAGACAACAAAUUCCCGUGCUAUAGUAACCAACGAUUGUACUCCAACAGUACUAACGGUAGGCUAGUCAUUGUAAGGUUGUGUAAUUUUGAUUUAAAUUUUUUCUGUUUGAACGUAUAAAAUUCUUUCCGUUUGAAUGUAUAAACUGAUAGUUGGAAAAGUGCAUUCUGGAAAAAUAAAAGUAGACUGUUUAUAU